UCGGCUCCUCCUCGGCGCUGCUGCCCAGCCGCGCUCGGUCUGGCCGUUCCCUCCUCUGUCCUCUUGCACUUUCCUCGUCCCCCGUUUGGUUUUUUUUUUUUUUUUUUUUUUUUAAUUUAUUUACUUAUUAAUGUGCGGUGUGCGGAAUUUCGUCUCUUUAAGCUCCAUGCGGUUUUGCCCUGGUAAACGAGACGGGUCCAUCGCCGGCUCGCACGCUCCCCUUACAUGCUCAAUCCACACAGGAAGAAGUUUUAACCAUCUUCCCAUGGCAUCUGACUUUUUUGAAGAGGAGGACUUUUCAGCCACUUGAUUGAAAGGAAAUAAGAAGUUUGCUUCAAGACCCUUACGUCGUUCGUCAGUUGUGUUAACAAACAUUGGGCUUGAGGAUACAUUUGCUGCUCCUCUGCAUUUUUGCUGAAGGUGCUGCAGUGUGGUGGGAGCUCCUGUAGCUGGAAUCUGGCCCCCAGUGUGGGUGUUAGAGGAAGGACCUUGCUGUCUCCUAGCUCCUGUGGGCCUUAGGCUUUGUGAAUGUCUCUUGGGAAGAGGACAGCUCUGUAGACCCUAAGUUUCAAAAGUAAUUUUAAAGGUUGCACCCAAGGGAGAAGCAGGGAGAUCCACAGUGGGGAAAAUGAACCCAGCAGUCCAUCCUGUCCUUUACCUGCCUGACUAUGGGAAGAGACCUAGCACAAAGCCAGAAUGCAGCUGGGCUUGCAGUCUUUUUAACCAUAUUAAGUCCUGUUCAGAGUUAAUGAUGAGCUCAGUGAGAUUGUCUCAGCAAUGCUGAAGAAGGGAGGGGCAGAAUUGGAAGGCAGGAGCUGUUUCAAAGCAGGAUUCUUCAUCUUUCAGUAAUGCCCAAACAUGAAGACUUUAUAAACUUCAUUAGAUCCUGCCAUCAAUGACUGAGCCUCCCUGAAAUCUUCUUAUCAGUUACUGCCAAGAUGAGAAGGAUAACGGGAAGGAGGAGUGCUUAAGUGGCUUUAAUGACAGUUAAUUUCAUCUAUUUAUCAAAUGACAGGUUGUUUUUUCCUCAAAACUUGAUUGUCAUGACAAGAUGCUUUUGGAAGUCAUCUUUCUAAAAUAAAGCUGACAAUUUUUAGGCUACAAA